AGAAGCUGCUGUGUUUGUACUGUAGAGCCUCAUCUAUCGUUAAAAACAUUAGAGAAUCACGGUGAUUUGAUGGUAAACUUCAGCGUCAGAAAGAUCUGUAAUAAUGCAGUCAGCAGAAGAGGAUCACGUCGCCCCUGUGGAUCUACAACAUGAAGGAUUCCAGAUACAAAUAAAAGAGGAGCAAGAAGAU